rnacentral:rRNA from 1 species
GAUGAACGCUGGCGGCGUGCCUAAUACAUGCAAGUCGAGCGAACAGACGAGGAGCUUGCUCCUCUGACGUUAGCGGCGGACGGGUGAGUAACACGUGGAUAACCUACCUAUAAGACUGGGAUAACUUCGGAAAACCGGAGCUAAUACCGGAUAAUAUAUUGAACCGCAUGGUUCAAUAGUGAAAUACGGUUUUGCUGUCUCUUAUAGAUGGAUCCGCGCCGCAUUAGCUAGUUGGUAAGGUAACGGCUUACCAAGGCAACGAUGCGUAGCCGACCUGAGAGGGUGAUCGGCCACACUGGAACUGAGACACGGUCCAGACUCCUACGGGAGGCAGCAGUAGGGAAUCUUCCGCAAUGGGCGAAAGCUUGACGGAGCAACGCCGCGUGAGUGAUGAAGGUCUUCGGAUCGUAAAACUCUGUUAUUAGGGAAGAACAAAUGUGUAAGUAACUAUGCACGUCUUGACGGUACCUAAUCAGAAAGCCACGGCUAACUACGUG